AGCGAACGCUGGCGGCAGGCCUAACACAUGCAAGUCGAACGAACCUUUCGGGGUUAGUGGCGGACGGGUGAGUCACACGUGGGAACGUGCCUUUAGGUUCGGAAUAACUCAGGGAAACUUGUGCUAAUACCGAAUGUGCCCUUCUGGGGAAAGAUUUAUCGCCUUUAGAGCGGCCCGCGUCGGAUUAGCUAGUUGGUUGAGGUAAUGGCUCACCCAGGCGACGGUCAGUAGCUGGUCUGAGAGGAUGAUCAGCCACAUUCGAACGGAGACACGGCCCAAACUGUGACGGGAGGAACCGGCCGAGAAUCUUGGGGGAGGAGCGAGGGGGAACUCGAGCAAAACGGCGUAAGUGAAGAAGGCCCUCGGCUGGGAAAAGGAUGUGGUUGUGAAAGAAAAAAAUUUUUUUAACCGGCGGCUGUAAUGACGGUACCCAAAGAAAAAGCCCCGGCUAACUUCGUG
rnacentral:rRNA from 1 species